GUCACACUUAGUUUGAAAUAACCAAUGCCAUGGGCGAUAGUUUGGGUUGAUUUUUUUUUUUCAAUUCAUUCAUAGGCUAUUGGCGCCAUUGGCCAGUCAAUCAUUUUUUGGCCAUUGCUGUGGGUCUACAGUUAAAGAAUCCAGGACUUGAGUGCAGAAACUAUACCUUGUACCUAAGAUGAGAUCGCAAGUGGUGACUUGAAUCCGGAACAAACCCACGGUGACACAGGGAG